AGCAUUCUCUUGCUUGCAAUGUGUACAUCUGCCUGGCUUGUUAACCAGAAUUAGUCACGUUAAAGGGUUUCUGGCCAGUUAAUUAUUAGCUAAUACGAUUAAUUUAAUCAUUUAUGUCCAAAGGUUUAAAGGAUGUGGCGUGACAGUCCAGCAGACAAACGUUUUACAUGAGUUACAACAGUGUAGCUGUGUUUUUGCACAAGUCUGUCAAAGAGUAAUGGCAUCUCAGUGGGUCCUUUAAAAAUUAAAGUGUUUAAAUUGCAUGAAAGGAACUUAAAAUGUAAGCACUGCAAUGGAGUGUGAGUACACGUGUGUCCGGACACGCCGAGGGACCCCUACAAGUCAAAGGACAGGAGCAGGAAUCGAGCGGGUUCCAUAAAAUAUCGCUUUCUGCGGAAGGUGCUCUUGUUGCAAUUUUGCAGAGAUGAAGAGGAGGGCCGGCCCCAGCCAAAGCGGUCUUUCCUGCCACCGAGGCCUGCCUCGCAAAGUUCUGAGCUGCCGAUUCCUGAGUUGCCGUGCGGCCUUCUCGAGGGAACAGCGGGAGCGGAUUGGUCGGGCGCUGUAUGUAUUGUAUGAGAAAUGUAC